rnacentral:lncRNA from 1 species
AAGCGCCAAUACUUUGGCCACCUGAUAGGAAGAACUGACUCACAGGAAAAGACCCUGGUGCUGGGAAAGACUGAAGGCAGGAGGAGAAGAGGGUGGCAGAGGAUGAGAUGGUUGGAUGGCAUCACUGACUCAGUGGGCAGGAAUUUGAGCAAAUUCCGGGAGAUAGUGGAGGGCAGAGGAGCCUCGUGUGCUGCUGUCCAUGUGGGUGCAAAGAGUCAGACAAAACUGAGCUACUGAAUAACAACAACAACAAAACGUUCUGAGUGCUUAUGUUGACCUCGGCUCUGAGUUAAUUCUCCAGAGUCCCCUUGGCUUAUCCCCAUUCCACAGGUAAGGAAAUGGAGGUAUUUAGUGUGCUUGAGCGCUUAGGGAUGUGAGGGCCUUGUCUCCCCAGGCCAGCUGGAGCAGCUCCAGGGCAGGCCAUCUUAUGUACUGUCUGGAUUCCUGGACCCACCUCACUUGGUGCUUGUUGAGCUGUGUAGCUAGAAGAGGAGUGCACCCAUCUGUUCUCUCCUGGGAGAUUUGGUGCCUAGAAUCCACCUUGUCAGUCAGAGCUUCGGCUAAGUCAGGGUAACCGCCAAAGCACAGAUCCUGGACAGAGAAUGAAUAUUCAGUGAUCCAUUUUCCCCCUUGGCUGCCAGAAUGCUUAAAGCUAAAUUUACUGCUCAAGCGCCGCUCUCGGAGUCAGAUGUCUGGUGUAGCUCACAUACUUUACAUUUUACUAGCUGUAUGGUAACAUAUGGCCUUUGUUUGUUGUUCCUCCAGAUGCUCUAUACCUGCCGUAGCAGAUGAAAAGACGGGCACACAGACGAAGAGGAGGAAAGAGCCUCACUUGGCAGAGGGGACAGGAAGGGAAAGUAAGAAUGCUGGUGUUGGAGGAGCCUGGGUAUUUCCUAGACCAGUGGUCCUUAAACUUCUGUGGACCACCAAGCAGGUGGCUCCGAGGCCCUGGGACGGAUGCCCCUUCUACCAGAUCCCAGCCAUUGCCUCCUAAACUGGAAUUCCCAGAAACGCAGCCACUCUGCCUUGGUUUGACAGAGCAAGUGGUCCCCAUGCAAGGUGAUGGACGACGAGAGGCACCCCAGACUAAGGAGAGCCUCCUUUUCUGCUCACCACUGCCUGUGAGUCAAGCACUGACAGAGCAAUAGACAGACAGACAGGCCCCAAUGCCAGGCCCACUCCAGACCAAUGGAAUCUGUGUGCCCAG